GAAAGGUCUUCUUCUUCCUUCGUUGUGGUGUCGCAUGGAAGCAUUUAAAUUCAUUUUGCUCUUCCCUGAUUCAUGUUGCCAAAUGCUCACCAUUGCGAGUCAUGAUAAAGCUUAUCUGAUCACCAUUCUUCGACGUCAAUGGUGAUGUAGGUUAUAAAAAAUCAUCGCCUUCCCUUUAUCCUUCGCACCUUCUUCUCUAUUCGUUCCUUUGUUGUGGGUGUCAUCGUCAGAGCUUCUCUUUCGUGUUAGAGUCGUGAACGUUUCUGGCCGUUCCUCCUCCGAGUGCAACAGCGCCGAACAUCUUCUUUCCUCUUCUCUGCUGUCUUUGAUUGUGGGAUGGCCUCCUAGAGUUGAAGAAACUCAAAGUAUGCAAAUGUGAGGAAUGGGAGGGAAUGUUUUGUGAAGAAUCACUUAAGAACUUUUCACCAUCAUCAUCAUCUUCUUCUUCUAAUGUCUGCUUCCCCAAACUUAAGGAGAUUCAGAUAUGGCAUUGCAACAAGAUGAAAAGGCUAGUUGAUGGAGAUGGUGAUGAAGAAGCCCAACAUGGGGAUCGGCCACUGCUUCUCAAACUGAAGGAAUUAACUCUGGCAAAGUUGCCAAAAUGAGACACAUUUUUG